GACAUAGGGUGCAAACGUUGUUCGGAAUUACUGGGCGUAAAGCGUGUGUAGGCGGCCAUGUAAGUCAGGUGUGAAAGCCCCGGGCUCAACCCGGGAAGUGCACUUGAUACUGCGUGGCUUGAGUACUGGAGAGGUUGGUGGAAUUCUCGGUGUAGAGGUGAAAUUCGUAGAGAUCGGGAAGAACAUCGGUGGCGAAGGCGCUCUACUGGACCACAACUGACACUCAGAGACGAAAGCUAGGGGAGCGAAUGGG
rnacentral:rRNA from 1 species